rnacentral:rRNA from 1 species
AGAUUGAACGCUGGCGGCAGGCCUAACACAUGCAAGUCGAGCGGCAGCACGGGUACUUGUACCUGGUGGCGAGCGGCGGACGGGUGAGUAAUGCCUAGGAAUCUGCCUGGUAGUGGGGGAUAACGCUCGGAAACGGACGCUAAUACCGCAUACGUCCUACGGGAGAAAGCGGGACGG